rnacentral:rRNA from 1 species
AACGAACGCUGGCGGCAUGCCUAGCACAUGCAAGUCGAACGAAGGCUUCGGCCUUAGUGGCGCACGGGUGAGUAACGCGUGGGAAACUGCCUAUUGGUGGGGAAUAACGACGGGAAACUGUCACUAAUACCGCAUAAGCCCUUCGGGGGAAAGAUUUAUCGCCGAUAGAUGUGCCCGCGUCCGAUUAGCUAGUCGGUGAGGUAAUGGCUCACCAAGGCGACGAUCGGUAGCUGGUCUGAGAGGAUGAUCAGCCACACUGGGACUGAGACACGGCCCAGACUCCUACGGGAGGCAGCAGUGGGGAAUAUUGGACAAUGGGCGAAAGCCUGAUCCAGCAAUGCCGCGUGAGUGAUGAAGGCCUUAGGGUUGUAAAGCUCUUUCGGGUGGGACGAUGAUGACGGUACCACCAGAAGAAGCCCCGGCUAACUUCGUGCCAGCCGCCGCCGUAA